rnacentral:rRNA from 17 species
CUGAGACACGGCCCAAACUCCUACGGGAGGCAGCAGUGGGGAAUAUUGGACAAUGGGCGAAAGCCUGAUCCAGCCAUGCCGCGUGUGUGAAGAAGGUCUUCGGAUUGUAAAGCACUUUAAGUUGGGAGGAAGGGCAGUAAAUUAAUACUUUGCUGUUUUGACGUUACCGACAGAAUAAGCACCGGCUAACUCUGUGCCAGCAGCCGCGGGAAUACAGAGG